GGGCCUGUAGCGCAGCUGGAAGAGCGCAUCCAUGGCAUGGAUGAGGUCAGGGGUUCGAGCCCCCUCAGGUCCACCA
rnacentral:tRNA from 6 species